rnacentral:misc_RNA from 1 species
GUUGAAUCUGCUAAAAGUGCUUAUGCAAAAUUGGGUGAGGAUUCUAAUGCUCAGCUACUUGAUAUUAGAUCGCCAGUUGAAAUAAGGAAAGUGGGUGGCCCUGAUCUUAAGGGUUUGGGUAAAAAGCCUGUGUCCAUUACUUACAAAGGUGAAGAUAAGCCAGGUUUCUUAAAGAAGCUUGCUUUGAAGUUCAAGGAGCCACAAAAUACCACAUUGUUCAUUUUAGACAAAUAUGAUGGGAACUCCGAACUCGUUGCAGAGUUGGCAACUGUCAAUGGAUUUAAAGCUGCUUUUGCUAUUAAAGACGGCGCAGAAGGACCUCGUGGAUGGACGAAUAGUGGUCUUCCAUGGUUAACACCAAAGUCAACUUUGAGUCUUAGCA